UACGGAGGGUGCAAGCGUUAAUCGGAAUUACUGGGCGUAAAGCGCACGCAGGUGGCUGAGUCAGUCGAUUGUGAAAGCCCUGGGCUUAACCUGGGAAUUGCAGUCGAUACUGCUCGGCUAGAGUAUGGGAGAGGGUAGUGGAAUUCCCGGUGUAGCGGUGAAAUGCGUAGAUAUCGGGAGGAACAUCAGUGGCGAAGGCGGCUACCUGGCCCAAUACUGACACUCAGGUGCGACAGCGUGGGGAGCAAACAGG
rnacentral:rRNA from 1 species